rnacentral:tRNA from 1 species
GCACUGGUGGUUCCGGGGGAGAAUUCUUGCCUUCCAUGCAGGAGACCUGAGUUCGAUUCCCAGCCAAUGCA